rnacentral:lncRNA from 1 species
GUUCCAAAUGCCCAUCAACUAGCAGUUGAGUGAAACGCCAAUCUGUGAGGUCCCUGAUUCUCAUUUUAUAUUUGGCCGUUCUUUGCUGGAAACAUUGUGACCAAGAAAAUUGUGUCCAUCACACUAGUUUUUUCCGGACGAGUUUAACUUCUUACUUCUGCCACGUAAGUUUGUUUUACGUCUGGUAUCCAAAAAGAACUAAAAAAUGCCUCG